rnacentral:rRNA from 1 species
CCUACGGGAGGCAGCAGUGGGGGAUAUUGCACAAUGGGGGAAACCCUGAUGCAGCGACGCCGCGUGUGGGAAGACGGUCCUCUGGAUUGUAAACCACUGUCCCCAGGGACGAAGACGACGGUACCCCUUGAAUAAGCCACGGCUAACUACGUGCCAGCAGCCGCGGUAAUACGUAGGUGGCAAGCGUUGUCCGGAUUUACUGGGUGUAAAGGGCGUGCAGCCGGAGAGACAAGUCAGAUGUGAAAUCCACGGGCUCAACCCGUGAACUGCAUUUGAAACUGUUUCCCUUGAGUGUCGGAGAGGUAAUCGGAAUUCCUUGUGUAGCGGUGAAAUGCGUAGAUAUAAGGAAGAACACCAGUGGCGAAGGCAGAUUACUGGACGAUAACUGACGGUGAGGCGCGAAAGCGUGGGGAGCAAACAGGAUUAGAUACCCCAGUAGUC